CUUGGUUGCUGUGUGCAGUAAUCCAUGAACACCAUGCCAUGCAGUUCAGUCUGCUACACCAACCCCUUCUGACUCUAGGAAAUCUUGACAGCUAACAGGACAUCCCCAAAGAGGAAGGCAUGUGAGUCAGGAUCUUUCUUACUGCAUCCAAGAAAAAGGAUUAAAAAUGUUGUUUUUCCCCCUCCAUGGCUCCCUGUGGCAGGAUUGCUGCUCAGGACUGGAGCUUUCCUCUGACAGAAACUUGUUCAUGCCAGGAAUGUAACUGAGGACUUAGAAAGUCCAAGAAGUGGCCCAAAAGACUGGAUUUGGUUUUCAGCCCCAGUGUCUUGCAUGGAUGGGAUAUUCACCUACUUGAAGCAGCACAAUCUUUCAUGGGCUCUCAGUCUGCUGCUGAGAAGUCUUGUCCCAUUUUACCUGGUUUUGGAACAAGAAAACAGGGAAUAAAAGGAGUUGCUGAAAGAACGGCGGAAGGACACAGAUUUCAGCACAGCAGAAUUAGCCUUGCAAAGAACCAUGUAGAAAAACCCCAAUAUUAAGUUGUGUUUGGACACACUGGCCUAAAUAAUAAAGUUUCCACAAGUUUAUGAAGAGUGGCAUCUUUUUGAAAUAUUUUUAAGUGAAUGGCUCCCCAAUAUGAGUUGUGUAUGCUGCUGGCCUGGAGGAUCCAGCUCUGCUGGGGUUGUGUCUGGCCUGAAAACCUUGUCUAUGAGGAGCUGGUACCAUCUUCAAGGGGAGGGAGGAGGCAGGCUGGAGCAGGAGGAGCCAAGCAUUCCCACCUGGAUAUAAUCUGAGACUUGGAACACCACAGGCAGCUCUUCUCCACUGGAAUCCAGAGGAAGACCAGACUCAUCUACACCAGCACUGUGCCUUCAGAGGAAAACUACACCCUUCUACAUGAUCACUGCUUCAACAGAACCACAUCUGUCACUGCAUGAGGACUGCAGCCAUCAUUUAAUCAGACUGCUACCAACACACUGACCAACAGUGUCAGGUUGUAUUCUGACUCUGUCAUGGGUUGUUUUUUUGUCAGUUUUCUUUUUUUUGUACUACUGCAUUUCUAUUUGAAUUUCUUUAGUAAAGAACUGUUGUUCCUAUUCCCAUAUCUUUGCCUGAGAGCAUCUUGAUUUCAAGAUUAUGAUAUUUUGAAGGAGGGUUGGGUGGUUUACAUUUUUAUUUAUUUCAAGGGAGGUUUCUGCCUUCCUUAGCAGACACCUGUCUUUUUUUCAAACCAAGACAAGUGUCCUUGUGCUGGUAUGGUGGAGAGAAACAGUCACCACUGUGGGAGCUGGAGGGAAAAGGGUCAGAUUCAACUGCUCACAGUUAAAAGCAGCAACAUGGGGUCUGAAUUGUUUUAUGCUCUGAAAAAAAGGCUUGUGAAAAGCUUUGGACAUGGCAGAACACAUCCAUAUUCCUUUAAAAUAAAAUAGCUCUGAAAGAUCUUUUAUGUCACAGAAGGGGUUAGUCUUCAUUAUUCUUGUUUUUACAUGAUUUUUAAAGACUUUAAGAGAUAUUUUAA